AACAGUUGCUAAGACUGGAUAGGAAAUUAAAAGGCAUCUUUUAAUUUUUAAAAGACCUUUUUCGAAAGGUAUACUUAAAGAGGGGCUUGCGGCACAUUAGUUAGUUGGUAGGGUAAAAGCCUACCAAGACCAUGAUGUGUAGCUGGACUGAGAGGUUGAACAGCCACAUUGGGACUGAGACACGGCCCAAACUCCUACGGGAGGCAGCAGUAGGGAAUUUUCGGCAAUGGAGGAAACUCUGACCGAGCAACGCCGCGUGAACGAUGAAGUAUUUCGGUAUGUAAAGUUCUUUUAUUGAAGAAGAAAAAAUAGUGGAAAAACUAUCUUGACGAUAUUCAAUGAAUAAGCCCCGGCAAACUAUGUGCCAGCAGCCGCGGUAAUACAUAGGGGGCGAGCGUUAUCCGGAAUUAUUGGGCGUAAAGGGUGCGUAGGCGGUUUGACAAGUCUAUAGUUUAAUUUCAGUGCUUAACACUGUUCUGCUAUAGAAACUAUCAGACUAGAGUGAGAUAGAGGCAAGUGGAAUUCCAUGUGUAGCGGUAAAAUGCGUAAAUAUAUGGAGGAACACCAGAGGCGUAGGCGGCUUGCUGGGUCUUUACUGACGCUGAGGCACGAAAGCGUGGGGAGCAAACAGGAUUAGAUACCCUGGUAGUCCACGCCGUAAACGAUGAGUACUAAGUGUCGGGGAAACUCGGUACUGAAGUUAACACAUUAAGUACUCCGCCUGAGUAGUACGUACGCAAGUAUGAAACUUAAAGGAAUUGACGGGACUCCGCACAAGCGGUGGAUCAUGUUGUUUAAUUCGAAGAUACACGAAAAACCUUACCAGGUCUUGACAUACUCUGCAAAGCUAUAGCAAUAUAGUGGAGGUUAUCAGGGAUACAGGUGGUGCAUGGUUGUCGUCAGCUCGUGUCGUGAGAUGUUAGGUUAAGUCCUAAAACGAGCGCAACCCUUGUCACUAGUUGCCAGCAUGUUAUGAUGGGCACUUUAGUGAGACUGCCAAUGAAAAAUUGGAGGAAGGUGAGGAUCACGUCAAAUCAUCAUGCCCCUUAUGAUCUGGGCUACAAACGUGAUACAAUGGCUGUUACAAAGAGUAGCUAAAACGCGAGUUUAUAGCCAAUCUCAUAAAAGCAGUCUCAGUUCGGAUUGAAGUCUGCAACUCGACUUCAUGAAGUUGGAAUCGCUAGUAAUCGCGAAUCAGCAUGUCGCGGUGAAUACGUUCUCGGGGUUUGUACACACCGCCCGUCAAACC
rnacentral:rRNA from 1 species